UACAGAGGUCUCAAGCGUUGUUCGGAAUUACUGGGCGUAAAGCGCGUGUAGGCUGCUCGGAAAGUCGGAUGUGAAAGCCCUGGGCUCAACCUAGGAAGUGCAUUCGAAACUUCCGAGCUGGAGUGCUGGAGAGGAAGGCGGAAUUCUCGGUGUAGAGGUGAAAUUCGUAGAUAUCGAGAGGAACACCGGUGGCGAAGGCGGCCUUCUGGACAGUAACUGACGCUGAGACGCGAAAGCGUGGGGAGCAAACAGG
rnacentral:rRNA from 1 species